GACGAACGCUGGCGGCGUGCUUAACACAUGCAAGUCGAACGGAAAGGCCCUGCUUUUGUGGGGUGCUCGAGUGGCGAACGGGUGAGUAACACGUGAGUAACCUGCCCUUGACUUUGGGAUAACUUCAGGAAACUGGAGCUAAUACCGGAUAGGAGCUCCUGCUGCAUGGUGGGGGUUGGAAAGUUUCGGCGGUUGGGGAUGGACUCGCGGCUUAUCAGCUUGUUGGUGGGGUAGUGGCUUACCAAGGCUUUGACGGGUAGCCGGCCUGAGAGGGUGACCGGCCACAUUGGGACUGAGAUACGGCCCAGACUCCUACGGGAGGCAGCAGUGGGGAAUAUUGCACAAUGGGCGGAAGCCUGAUGCAGCAACGCCGCGUGCGGGAUGACGGCCUUCGGGUUGUAAACCGCUUCCGCCUGUGACGAAGCGUGAGUGACGGUAAUGGGUAAAGAAGCACCGGCUAACUACGUG
rnacentral:rRNA from 1 species